AACUGUGAAGUAGGACUUUAUCUUAGCGCAGCUAGGAAGAUGCAGAAGCAGAUGCUAACUUUAUUGUUGUUAGUGGUAACAGUUAGCUAGCUGGAGUUUUCUCAUAGAUCUUUAAAAUAGUUUGUUUCUUGUCUUCCACAUUUUCACCAUUUCUUCUUCUACCAAAUUAUUGAAAGUGAGGGCAAGUCCUUUUAUAAGCAAGUACUGUUAGCUUACCCAAUGACACAAUAUAGCCUAUAGCUAAGAUAUAUUAUUUACACACAAGAGAACAACUGCGUAGUGCCUUGGGAGUCAAAACUUACUUGAAUAAGAACUACAUUUUUAAUAUUGCAGAGUCUCGAAAUACAAGAUCUUAUUACAUCACUAUUAUGCACUGCUGAUAUUUAGCCUAAAUCCUACAAUUUGGAGUUCUGUUGUUUAUUUCGGCUUUCUUAUUUUCAUGUUAACAAACUAUCAGUGCUAAAGAGUGUGUGUAAUGUCACUGAUUAUUUUAAAGUGUAGUAAGUCUUUCACACAAUAAUUUGGAUACACAUUUAUAUAUCUGGAAGAUACAAGCAUUUCCAGAGAAAGUCUAAACUGAUGAUUAUAAAAAUUACAGGUCAAAAGUUACUACACUUUUGAAAGCCUACUAUUUGGCAAGAAACCAAGACAUGUGACAUGUCUUGCUGUUAACUAAUGGACUAUACCUGUUUAUAGUCCAUUAGUUAUGCUGUAUGAGGCUGCAUUACUGACAGAUUUUUAACGCGUUUAUAGUGCAACUUUAUUGUAAAGUGGUACUUGUAGUUUUACUAACUGAGCAAAGGCAGUAAUUUAUCUCAGUAAUGAACCUUUGGUGGAUCAAAUGACAGUUGUGUCUUAUGUCAUCCAAUGUGUGAAAUGUCUCGCCAUAAGUACCACGUGACUCAUUUUGUAAUCUAUAGCUUAACACGUGGCCGUCCCUCUGUGAGCGGGACACCCUCCUUACAAAGGCAGGCCUGUUUCGGAAAGGCUCCAUGUUGACAUUGACACAGAUUAGUUGCAGGCCAGCGGAGCACGGGCCCAACCUCGACAAUAACGCUCAGUUUUUCCCUCCGCAUCCUAAUUUGCCUCGUUUCAGCUCGCUGUCCCUCCUUCUUCUCCCGUCUUUUCUCACCUCUCUUAUUUGAAAAUAGCCCCUUAUUGCUCCUUCCCUGCAGUCUGUCUUCACGGCGCUUCUCUUCAAACACACAAUGGAUCUCAGAGCGAGCGUCAGAGCCUGUCAGCACGUUGCAGUGACAUAACAUUCCUGUGUGUAUGAAUAGGAUGAGCAUGUAUCUGCAGUAUUUAGUGUUCUCUUUUUUAGAAACUGUAUAUGACUCUCAAUCAAUUGCUAUCAUUUGUCAUUGUACCAAACAAUGCCAUUGUGCAACCCAAUCCCCAGCCACCCCUCCUUCUGCGCCCUCCUCUCUUGUCUGUUCGUCUCUCCUGCUGCAAGCCAUCCCUCGUUCCGACCAUCCUUGACCUUUGUCCAAGGAUACUGUUUCUCGUCCUGGCUUGAGACUUUCUUAAAAUAAAGCCUGUGCCAUGCAAAUGUACUAGAACACACUGCCACUCACUUUCUGUCUUCCUCUUUAUCUUGCUCUCUCUCUCUCUCUUUUUUUUUUUUUUUGUUCCACACACAGCCGUCAGGCCUUCUAGGGCCACAGCGACAGCUGUAAGGGAGGCCGGAGGGCAGAGACUGAGGAUUAAGACAAUGUGUGCAACGCGCUGUCCUUAAUAAAACCAUAGCAGAGAGAGCAGCAGCAGAGAGGGAGAGAGGGAUUCCUUGUGUAAAUGAGAGUGUAUCUAAAAGUAAUUUAAUAUCUCGGUGAUGUACAUGCUGUAUUUGGCCGUCUGAGUGUGUGUUUGUCUUCACCACAGAGAUGACAGGAAGUGAGCGGGACAGGUGGCUUCACGCCGAGGGAUGCGCUUUGAUGGACAGAACAUGCGAUCCAGACACGGAUGAGGGAGUAACAGAUUCAGAGGGAUUAAAUGGCAACGAGAGGGAUGCUCUACGUGGCAUACACAGAUGCUCAGCUCAACAGUUGACUUCCUUUAAUCGUGCACGCACGUGCAGCUGAAAUGUUCUUUGGUGGAAAAUUUUGGUUUUGAAUUCAGAAUGAGUUUCUCGGCGUCUGCAGAGACGGAUCUGAAAACUUGACUGACACACUUUCAUGGCAUUCCCUAACGUGACACCUAAAUGUGCCUGCUCCAUAAACGUAACCACCCAGCGUUUGUCUCUCUCACACACACACACACACACACACACACACACACACACACACACACACACACACACACACACACACACACACACACACACACACAGCUGGUGUAUUUGUCAGUCCUUAAACACUUCUCCAUCUUCCUCCUCUGUUUUUUCAUCCCUCCAUCUCUGCUCGUGUGAUGCUCAUCCACCACGACAAAUCCAGUGAAGGAUAUUGAAUAAAUUAUUAAAAAAUAAAAAAUCUCAUCAUUCACUGCCUCUUUGUC